GACGAACGCUGGCGGCGUGCCUAACACAUGCAAGUCGAACGGACAGGCCCUGCUCUUGCGGGGCGCUCGUUUGGCGCACGCGUGUGUAACACGCGAGUAACCCGCCCCUGACUGUGGGAUAACAUCACGAAAAUCCGGCUAAUACCGGAUAGGAUCUCUUGCUCCAUGGUGUGGGUUGGAAAGUUUCGGCGGUGGGGGAUGGACUCGCGGCUUAUCAGCUUGUUGGUGUGGUAGUGGCUUACCACGGCUUCGACGGGUAGCCGGCCUGAGAGGGUGACCGGCGACAUGGGGACUGAGAGACGGACCAGACGCCAACGGGAGGCAGCGGGGGAGAAUAUGGCAGAGUGGGCGGGAGCGUGAUGCAGCAACGCCGGGAGCGGAAUGACGGCUUUCGGGGUAUGAACAGAUUUGGCCUGUGACGAAGAGUGCGUGACGGUAAUGGGUCAGGAAGCACCGGCUAACUACGUG
rnacentral:rRNA from 1 species